CCUACGGGAGGCAGCAGUGGGGAAUAUUGGGCAAUGGAGGAAACUCUGACCCAGCAACGCCGCGUGAAUGAUGAAGGUCUUCGGAUUGUAAAGUUCUUUUCUAAGGGAAGAAGAAAGUGACGGUACCUUAGGAAUAAGCCUCGGCUAACUACGGGCCAGCAGGCGCGGUAAUACGUAGGAGGCGAGCGUUAUCCGGAAGGACUGGGCGUAAAGGGUGCGUAGGUGGUUUGGCAAGUUAGUAGCGUAACUCCAAGGCUCAACCUUGGAACUACUACUAAAACUGUUGGACUUGAGUGCAGGAGGGGCAACCGGAAUGCGUAGUGUAGCGGUGGAAUGCGUAGAUAUUAGGAGGAACACCGGUGGCGAAGGCGGGUUGCUGGACUGUAACUGACGCUGAGGCACGAAAGCGUGGGGAGCGAACAGGAUUAGAUACCCCUGUAGUC
rnacentral:rRNA from 1 species